rnacentral:rRNA from 1 species
GGGUUCUGGGGGUUAGUGGCGAACGGGUGAGUAACACGUGAGUAACCUGCCCUUCACUUCUGGAUAACCGCUUGAAAGGGUGGCUAAUACGGGAUGUUUCUGGGUCUGUCGCAUGGCGGGUUCGGGAAAGAUGGCACUGUUUGGUGUUUUUGGUGGGGGAUGGGCUCGCGGCCUAUCAGCUUGUUGGUGGGGUGAUGGCCUGCCAAGGCUUUGACGGGUAGCCGGCCUGAGAGGGUGGGCGGUCACACUGGGACUGAGAUACGGCCCAGACUCCUACGGGAGGCAGCAGUGGGGAAUAUUGCACAAUGGGCGGAAGCCUGAUGCAGCGACGUCGCGUGAGGGAUGGAGGCCUUCGGGUUGUGAACCUCUUUCGCCAGUGAGGAAGGCCUUGCCCGUGUGGUGGGGUUGACGGUAGCUGGGUUAAUUGAAGCGCCGGCUAACUACGUGCCAGCAGCCGCGGUAAUACGUAGGGCGCGAGCGUUGUCCGGAAUUAUUGGGCGUAAAGGGCUUGUAGGCGGUUGGUCGCGUCUGCCGUGAAAUCCUCUGGCUCAGCUGGGGGCGUGCGGUGGGUACGGGCUGGCUUGAGUGCGGUAGGGGAGGCUGGAACUCCUGGUGUAGCGGUGGAAUGCGCAGAUAUCAGGAGGAACACCGGUGGCGAAGGCGGGUCUCUGGGCCGUUACUGACGCUGAGGAGCGAAAGCGUGGGGAGCGAACAGGAUUAGAUACCCUGGUAGUCCACGCUGUAAACGUUGGGCACUAGGUGUGGGGGGUCUUUCCGGGUCCUCCGCGCCGUAGCUAACGCAUUAAGUGCCCCGCCUGGGGAGUACGGCCGCAAGGCUAAAACUCAAAGGAAUUGACGGGGGCCCGCACAAGCGGCGGAGCAUGCGGAUUAAUUCGAUGCAACGCGAAGAACCUUACCAAGGCUUGACAUGUGCCGGUUGUCCUUCGGAGACGGAGGGUCCUCCCUUUGCGGGGGUCGGUUCACAGGUGGUGCAUGGUUGUCGUCAGCUCGUGUCGUGAGAUGUUGGGUUAAGUCCCGCAACGAGCGCAACCCUUGUCCCGUGUUGCCAGCACGUCGUGGUGGGGACUCGCGGGAGACUG